rnacentral:rRNA from 1 species
GCUGGGCGCCACUUAGUACUAUAGAAGUGCUUCGCGUACCGGRACACGGCCGCGACAAGGUAAGUUUAAAGACGGGAUAGUUGAAAGCUACCAUCCUAUCUCCGGAUGGUACCACCAUUGCCCACUGCCUCCUAAUCCCAAGCUAAGGCCUCUCCCUCGGACUCUUUGCCGAUGGUGUAGGUUCCUUCCGUCGUCCGCGCGUUUAAUGGGUUAGGACUAUGCCCCUCCAUCACUGUUAUUUAUUGUUAURGCCCGUAAAKUACAGACCAUUAACCUUACUCAUGUUAGAUUUAGGGAAUUGCUCCUAGGUAACCUCCCGUUCAGACCACGGUCGUCGGCGCCAUUAAGGUCGAGGUUAUCGCAUAUAAAUUCAACAACGUCAAUUUUUCGAGCAUCAACCUAAAGCCCACCCAAGAUCGCCAGGCGGAURCCACUCAUGACGAUACCGGAAGGAAAGACAGCCCCUGCCCGARGACCCGAAKUGACAGGCCCUGAGCCUCAGCUGCACCAAUGAAACUCAUUUAAUCUCACAAGUUUCGUCCGAAUGCGGUCUUAUGAAAUCGUACCUUAUUGUGCUAUCCUGAGACCGGAUAGAACAACCAGACAUCCUGGCCUCAUUACUAAUUCUCCCUGUCAGCCCCCGUAAGCAUAAAGUAACAGUCUCCACUUUAAGAACCUAAAUACUUUCUGCUUGAUGACGCUUUCGUA